UUUUUUUGUUUUUUUUUUUUUGAGACGGAGUCUCGCUCUGUCGCCCAGGCUGGAGAGCAGUGACCGGAUCUCAGCUCACUGCAAGCUCCGCCUCCCGGGUUCACGCCAUUCUCCUGCCUCAGCCUCCCGAAUAGCUGGGACUAUAGGCGCCCGCCACCUCACCCGGCUAGUUUUUUGUAUUUUUUAGUAGAGACGGGGUUUCACCGUGUUAGCCAGGAUGGUCUCCAUCUCCUGACCUCGUGAUCCACCUGCCUUGGCCUCCCAAAGUGCUGAGAUUACAGGCUUGAGCCACCGCGCCCGGCCCUUUUUUUUUUUUUUUUUUUUUGAGAUGGAGUCUUGCUCUGUCGCCAGGUUGGAGUUCAGUGGCGGGAUUUUGGUUCACUGCAACCUCCGCCUCCCAGGUUCAAGCGAUUCUCCUGCCUCAGCCUCCUGAGUAGCUGGGACUACAGGCGCGUGCCACUACACCCAGUUGAUUUUUGUAUUUUUAGUAGGGAUGGAGUUUCACCAUCUUGUCCAGGAUGGUCUUGAUCUCUCGACCUCAUGAUCUGCCUGCCUCAGCCUCUCAAAGUGCUGGCAUUACAGGCGUGAGCCACUGCGCCCAGCUGAAAUACAGAAGUUUUAAAUUUUGAUGUGGUUCGAUUUAUCCAUUUGUUCUUUUAUUAAUUGUGCUUUUGCUGUCAUUUAAGAGAUAUCUGUCAGUGCCAUCAGGAUUUUCUUCUAUGUUUUCUCCUAGAAGUUUUGUCAUUUUAUAUUUAAAUCUUCGAUCCACUUCGAUUUAAUUUUUGUAUACAGUGUGAGGCAUAGAUUGAGUUUAUUUUUUUAAAUACAGUUAUCUGGUUGUUCUAGCACCAUUUGUUAAAAACGCUAGCCUUUUUCCACAGCAUUGCCUUUGUAACUUUGUCAAAACUCAAAUGUCUAAAUAUAUGUGGAUCUAAUUUUGGACUCACUAUUCUUGUCUAUUGAUCUAUAUGCCUACCUUUAUGCCAAUACCAUGCUGUUCUGAUUAAUGUAGCUUCAUAAUACUUCUUCAAAUCAGAUAGUGUCAGCCCUCUAACUGUUCUUUUUCAGAGUUGUUUUGACCAUUUUAGGCCCUUUCAUAUUUUUAUAUGAGUUUUAAAAUCAGCUUGUCGAUUCCUACAAGGAAAGCCUGCUGAGAUUUUGAUGGGGAUUCCAAUGGAUGUAUAGGUGAGUUCAGAGAGAAUUGCCAUCUUAAUGACUUUGAGUCUUCUGGCCCAUGAACAAAAUAUGAUUAAUUCUUGCUAUUCAUGGUAGUUAUGUUUUGUAAAGUGUCCGUGAACACUGAAUUAGCCAAUACUGAACCACUGAUCCCAGGGGAAGUACAGAGUGCAGUU
rnacentral:lncRNA from 1 species